rnacentral:rRNA from 1 species
GACGAACGCUGGCGGCGUGCUUAACACAUGCAAGUCGAACGGAAAGGCCCUGCUUUUGUGGGGUUCUCGAUUGGCGAACGGGGGAGUAACACGUGAGUAACCUGCCCUUGUCUUUGUGAUAACUUCAGGAAACUGGGGCUAAUGCCGGAUAGGAUCUCCUGCUGCAUGUUGGUGGUUGGAAAGCGUCGGCGGUUGUGGAUGGACUCGCGGCUUAUCAGCUUGUUUGUGGGGUAGUUGCUUACCAAGGCUUUGACGGGUAGCCGGCCUGAGAGGGUGACCGGCGACAUUGGGACUGAGAUACGGACCAGACUCCUACGGGAGGCAGAAGUGGGGAAUAUUGCACAAUGGGCGGAAGCGUGAGGCAGCAACGCCGCGUGCGGGAUGACGGCCUUCGGGUUGUAAACCGAUUUCGAAUGUGACGAAGAGUGAGUGACGGUAAUGGGUCAAGAAGCACCGGCUAACUACGUG